GCCUUCGUGGUGUAGUGGUCAACAUGCUCGACGAGUAACCGAGAGGUCCGUGGUUCGAUUCCCGGCGAAGGCG
rfam:Stegodyphus mimosarum contig86224, whole genome shotgun sequence.